GUUAUUUUUCCAAAAUAAAAUUAGGAUAAGUGUAAAUUUUCAUAUGAAAUAAGGAUAUAUUUCUCCCUUUUGAAGUCGCCACCAACCAAGACACCUCCAUUCUCCCCUUUCUUUUUCACCAAACAGCCACCAAGACCCUCCUACUCUAUCAAUUUCCUUAUUCUCGUCAACCCAAAAAUCCACCUGUUGCUUUCCCUCCGACCACCAAGAACACCACCCCAAACGUACAACAACAAAACCCCAUCUUCCUCUUCUCUUUUUCCGAUGAAACUUCACCCAUUUCCUCUUUACAAAUGACUAGCACCAACCAACAAAAAUCUACCUGAAACAACCCCCAAAACCCAUUAUUUUCCCCUUUAAUUGCUGCCAACAGUGACUCCGACGAGGAGUUUCAACAUCUGAUGAAUCGGAGUAAAAUAAUCACGAGACCAUCAAGAACCAUCCCUCCCCCCUUUUUUCUAUAUGAUCUUGUUCAUUUUGCAGCCAUUUUAGCGAGCUACAAACUCCAAAACUGAUGAGCUCGAAGCACAAGCGAGUCAACAUGCUCGUAACAACGAUGAACCAGCGAUCUACAAGCUCCAAACCAGCAGCCACUAUUUGCUUCAUCUCCGGUGAAACUCAAAAUGCUCCAGCGAAGCUUCAAACUCCGGCUACCGUUGUACCCUUGAGUUGCUUCUCAUCGAAGUUAUUCCAAUGGAAUUGAAAUGUAUUUUAUAUUUAUCAUUGUGUAUAUAAUUGAUGUUAGGCAAACAUUAGGCCAAUACUUGCAUUAUUAUUUUAUUUUGUUAUUUGUUUAUAUUACAUGUUAGUUGACUUGUAUAUUAUUUA